AUGAACUUUGAUGUGCCUGGUGCAUCCCUGAUCAUUGGUGUCAACAUCAAUAAAGAUAAUUUUGCAAGGGCCAAAAAGUUUGCAGCCUCUAAAUAUAUUAACAUCCAGGGCUUCAGUAAGGCCAUCCAGGAAACACCAGCAGCUGACUUAACCAGGGCCAGUAUCAGUACACCUAUCCUACUCCUAUUCCUGGCUCUCUCUCAUCUGUGUAUUCCUGACCCUCAGCUCAAGGGACAAGGGACAACUGUCCUCAGGAACCAGACCCCCUCCCACUCCUGGGAAACCUGGUAUAGCUUUACUCCCAACAUCUGCUGACCUCCCUCACCAAGAGAGCUUGCCGGGGCAGAUCACUGACAAUGGAUCCGUGUGACCCACCACCAAACACUAUCAGCUCCGUCUGGCUCAGCGGCUCAGACUGGGGCCCUAGACAACGGCCAAAGUUCUCCGCACUCCCGCUCAGGCCUUCCCCAAGGCAGUUCAACUCAGUGCCAAGUCCAAGGACAUCAAAACAGUUCACAGGUAUCGUCUUUUCCAGUGGGGAUCGUUGGAAGGUCCUGAGGAAGUUCUCUAUCCAGAUCCUAUGAAACUUCGGGAUGGAGAAGAGGAGCAUAGAGGAGAGCAUCUUGGAGGAAGGCCACUUCCUGCUGGCAGAGCUGCAGAAAAUUGAAGGAGAGCCCUUCGACCCCAAAUUUGCACUGAGUCACUCAGCGUCCAACUUUAUUUGUUCAGUGCUCUUUGGAAGACGCUUCCACUACAGUGAUGAGCGUCUGCUCACAUGGAUCCGCACCCAUCAGUGACAACUGUCAAAUCAUGAGUAGCCGCUGGGGCGAGAUGUACAACCUGUUCCCAAGCCUCCUCGACUGGGUGCCCGGGUCACACCAAUGCAUCUUCCACAACUUCAGGUUCAUGAAAGACAUCAUUGCUCUCAGCGUCCACGACCACCAGGCCACCCUGGACUCCACAUUUCCCUGGCACUUCAUUAAUUGCUUCCUCUCCAAAAUGGGGCAGGAGAAGCAGGACCCGCUGAGCCACUUCCACUGGGACACCCUGUUGAUGACCAUACUAAACCUGCUCUCCGACGGCACCAAGACUGUGGGCAUCACCCUGUGCCACGCCUUUCUUGUGUUCACGAAGUACCCUAAAAUACAAGCUGGCAUGCAGGAGGAGGUGGACCAGACAGUGGGACAGGCAAGGGUGCCUGGGCUAGAUGACUGCAUAGCCGUGCCUUAUACAGAAGUGGUGGUCCAUGAGGUGUAGUGCUUUGCAGACUUGCCACAUCGCGUCACUCAGGACACCAACUUUCAUGGCUUUCUGCUUCCCAAAGCCACGGAUAUAAUCACCCUCCUUAACACCAUCCACUAUGACCCCAGCCAGUACCUGACACCUGAGGAGUUCAACCCGGAGCAUUUUUUCGAUGCCAAUCAGUCCUUCAAGAAGAGCCCAGCCUUCAUGACCUUCUCAGCUGGGCGGCGAACGUGCCAGGGCGAACCGCGGGCGUGCAUGGAGCUCUUCCUCCACCGCACCGCCAUCCUGCAGAGCUCCUCCCUGCAGCCGCUGGGGGCGCCCGGGGACAUCGAUCUGGGCCGGAUCGGCUGCUCUCGGGACAAUUUACCGCGGCCCUACCAGCAGUGCUUGCGCGUGCGCGCCGAUGCCUCGGCCUUCUAGAUUGGCCUGUGAGCUGUGAGGAUCGCUGCUAGAGACCGCUUUGUCCCUCUUCUCGGUCCACUGCCUGCCCUCUCCCUCUUGCUGGCACACGUUCGUCCCUGCACCCCUGCUGCGUGCCCAUUUCCCGCCCCCAACCGUCGUAGCUGCAGGGCAGAGAGAAAGACAUGGCAUGUCUUUGCUUGUACCCACAGAACUUGAUCCACGACACACCCUUUACUGGGCUUUUUGUAUCCCUCCUUAGCAGAUUACCUUUAUGAUAGAUUCAAACUUGUCUCCACAAUUAAAGGGACUGUCCUCCCAUAAGGAUGAGGAGACAGGAACUCUGGCUGCAGAGAGGGGAGACACCAACCUGUGCCUGGUUCUACCCUUCCCUAUAGGGCAGCUGGGGUGGGAGAAGUUCCCAGGAGACAGCCCGAGGAUAGAAAGACAAAGAAACCAAGACAAAGAAAAAGACAGCUGCCCAGAGAGAUAGCAAACAGGGAGUCUGCAGGAGAUUCAGGGAGCUGUACAAAGAGGGAUGUAAGCAGGGAGGAAGUUAGAGACUGAAAAACGAUCACUGCCACUCACGUGGUGCUCACUGUUCUAAAGCCUCAAUUAAUUCUCCCUAUGAGCAAAGCAGUAUUAGUAUCACAUUUUUAUAGUUGAGCAAACUAAGGCUCAGAGAGGUGAACGGACUUGCCCCAAAUCACACAGACCAAAAGAGGGAGAGCUGGGAUCUGAGUAAAGACUCCCUGGCUCCAGACACUUCACUUUUAACCACCACCUUUCAAUUCACAAGUCAGAGACCGAGAAAUGGGGAGACAGAAAGAAGAGAAAGGAAAGAAACAGAAAUGACCAGAGAAAGAGAGAAUGGGAAAUGAAUGUGAGAGAUACAGGAGACUGGGGACUCUUCCCUCACCCCUCUGGCUGGGCUGUUCCUUUGCCCUGCGUUCCUCCCUUUGGAGAGGGGAUGGCCAUCCCAGGCACGGAGUUUCCUGGGACCAGACCUAACACCCUAACCUGCUGCCAGUAGCUUUUCUUACUGGGCCAACAUCCCAAACUGCACUGAGCCAGAUUCAACUAGCAUGGGGUUGAUCCCCAGCCAUAGAUGGAGGUGGCCUGGGAAGCCCUACCAUGAACAACCCCCGCCCCCAAGGCCAUCCAGAAGCUGGGACAUGCUCUACUGAGACCAUGGGUCUGACUGGGAUGAGGCUUAUAGGCGGUCCCCACGUAGGGAUAAAGGAGUCAGCUCCCUAAUCUUCAGUUUCCACAACAGGCUGACCACAGAGUCUGCUCCCGGGCAUGGCCAGGGACAUGGAGGUAGAGGGUAAGAGAGAGACUCAGAGGGCCUGAGAAAGACAAGGGGGGAGUUGGUGAAGAAAGAUACAUGGAGACACUGAAAAGAGAUGGAGAGAAACAGGAAGAGACAGAGAGAUACACAGAGAUGACAGGGAGAGAGCCUGAAAAACAAAGACUGAGAGGAAAACAGAAAGAAAGAGGCAGAGGGGAGAAACAGAAACACUGAGCAAAGAGAGAUAGGGAGGCCCAGAGAUAGGAAAGACAGGGAGAUUCUAAAAUUGGGCAGCGCCUGUGGCUCAGUGGGUAGGGCGCUGGCCCCAUAUACCGAGGAUGGUGGGUUCAAACCCGGCCCCAGCCAAACUGCAACAACAAAAAAAACAGCUGGGCAUUGUGGCGGGCGCCUGUAGUCCCAGUUACUUGGAAGGCUGAGGCAAGAGAAUCACUUAAGCCCAAGAGGUUGAGGUUGCUGGGAGGUGUGACACCACGGCACUCUACCCAGGGUGACAGCUUGAGAUUCUGUCUCAAAAAAAAAAAAAAAAACAAAGAGAGAGAGAAAGAGAAGGGUACAGAGAUGAAAAGAGAAAAACCUGAGACAAAAGGAGAGACUAAAAGAAACAGGGAAAUUAAGUGGCAAUUAGAGACAAAGAGAAACAGAGACAGAAAUAGGGAGGAACAGAGGUGUGGCAUUCAUUCAACAAAUAUUUACUGAAUGCCUACUGUAUGCCAAGCACUACUCUAAGUGCUGGGGAUACUGAAGUGAACAAGACAAAGUCCCAGCCUUGAGGAGCUGGCAUUCCAGAGAGGAGAGCCCAAACAGCAAAAUGGAAGAAGAGCCAGGAGUUGGAGAGGAAGCAGAGACCCUAAUACAGAGGGUCCAUCAGACAGCCUGGCACAGAAGGGUGGGGUCCAGGGAGGGCAUGGCUUACUGAACAGAGAAAGGCUGACAGGUAGGAAGACCCUUGGCAGAGACAGAGACAGGGAGACAGAGAAGCAGACAGAGAUUAAGAAAAAGACAGACUGGAAGAGAUAUAUAGAGAGAAAGAGACAGACAUUUUGAAAAAAGAAAGGACCAAAGGCAGAACCUGAGAGAAAAAGAGACAAAGAGAAAGUGGGGUCAGGGGAAGAAAGAGGGAGAGAGAUGAACAGAGAAACACAGAGAUCAAGAGUGAGGGAGGCACAGAGAUGAAACGAAGGCAGAGACGCUGAAUGGCACUCUGAGAGAAAAUUCUAGUCUAAGACUCUACACAGUCCCCCACCUUCUCCCCAGGUCUGGGCCCUGGGCCAGGCACUUGGAGGAGGGCUGGAUCUGGCCAGGCAGGGCCAGCAGGAGGGUGGACCACAUUCCUGAACAGUCUGUUCCAAGCACUAAUUUAGCCCCACUCCCACCACCCACUCCUGAGUCUGCCCCCUCCAGCCUGGGAUCCUCUAGGAUGUGUGUCUGGAGGAGGGGAGAAUGAGGGAUAUGUCUGUCUGAUAUCAUGCUCUAGCCUCAGGAGGAUCCACUUGGGAGCUUGGGGAAAUAGACAUUAGGGGAUAAAGCAGCAUUGGCAUAGGACAUGUGGGACCAUUUAGGAACCAGAGCCUUGGAAAUAGAGAUUAUAGGAGUUCAGGGCAGGGCAUAAGUACGGAGGUGCAGGAGACAUGUAGGAAGGGAUUCAGAAGUCUUUUUUUCUUUUUCUUUUCUUUCUUUAAUUCUUUUUUUUUUGAGACAGUCUCAAGCUGUUGCCCUGGGUAGAGUGUCGUGUCAUCAUAGCUCCCAGCAACCUCCAACUCAGGCUCAAGCAAUCCUCUUGCCUCAGUUUUUCUAUUUUUUUCUAUUUUUUUUUUUUUUUGAGACAGAGUCUCAAGCUGUCACCCUGGGUAGAGUGCUGUGGCAUCACAGCUCACAGCAACCUCCAACUCCUGGGCUCAAGCCAUUCUCCUGCCUCCGCCUCCCAAGUAGCUGGGACUGCAGGUGCCUGCCACAAUGCCCAGCUAUUUUUUGGUUGCAGCUGUCAUUGUUGUUUGGCGGGCCCAGGGUGGAUUUGAACCCACCAGCUCAGGUGUAUGUGGCUGGUGCCUUAGCCGCUUGAGCCACAGGCGCUGAGCCAGUUUUUCUAUUUUUAGUAGAGGUGGGGUCUUGCUUUUGCUCAGGCUGGUCUCAAUAUCAUGAGCUCAAGAAAUCCACCCACCCUGGCCUCCCAGAGUACUAGGAUUACAGAUGUGAGCCACUGUGCCCAGCCAGACUCAGAAGUCUUAAGUGUAGACACAGACGUGCCCAGAUUGUGGCCAGGAGGAAUGCCAGGGAGGAUCUGGGGGACUUGUACAAAGUUCAAGAGCAAUGGAAGUGACAAGGGCUCAAGUGUGAGUCCCAAAGAAUCACAGGCACAUGGGCGGCGCCUAUGGCUCAGUCGGUAAGGCGCCGGCCCCAUAUACCGAGGGUGGUGGGUUCAAACCCAGCCCCGGCCAAACUGCAACAAAAAAAUAGCCGGGUGUUGUGGCGGGCGCCUGUAGUCCCAGCUGCUCGGGAGGCUGAGGCAAGAGAAUCGCAUAAAGCCCAAGAGUUAGAUGCUGUGAGCCGUGUGACGCCACGGCACUCUACCGAGGGCGGUACAGUGAGACUCUGUCUCUACAGAAAAAAAAAAAAAAAUAGCCGGGCGUUGUGGUGGGUGCCUGUAGUCCCAGCUACUUGGGAAGCUGAGGCAAGAGAAUCGCUUAAGCCCAGGAGUUGGAGGUUGCUGUGAGCUGUGUGAGGCCACAGCACUCUACCGAGGGCCGUAAAGUGAGACUCUGUCUCUACAAAAAAAAAAAAAAAAAUCACAGGCACAGGGCACAGGACUGCCAGAGGUCAGAAAUGUAUGUAGGAGAUUCUUCAAAGAAAUUUAAGUAGACUUGCCCUUUGAUCAACAAUCCCACUAUCGGGUAUCUACCUUGGGGAAAAGAAUUCAUUUUAUCGGGUGGCGCCUGUGGCUCAGUCGGUAGGGCGCCGGCCCCAUAUACCAAGGGUGGCAGGUUCAAACCCGGCCCCGGCUGAACUGCAACCAAAAAAUAGCUGGGUGUUGUGGCGGGCGCCUGUAGUCCCAGCUGCUUGGGAGGCUGAGGCAAGAGAAUCGCUUAAGCCCAGGAGUUGGAGGUUGCUGUGAGCUGUGUGAUGCCAUGGCACUCUACCAAGGGCCAUAAAGUGAGACCCUGUCUCUACAAAAAAAAAAAAAAAAGAAUUCAUUUUAUCAAAAAGACACCUACACUUGGGCGGCACCUGUGGCUCAGUGAGUAGGGCGCCAGCCCCAUAUACUGAAGGUGGCUGGUUCAAACCUAGCCCUGGCCAAACUGCAACAAAAAAAAUAACCGGAGGUUGUGGCGGGUGCCUGUAGUCCCAGCUACUCAGGAGGCGGAGGCAAAAGAAUCUUCUAAGCCCAAGAGCUGGAGGUUGCUAUGAGCUGUGUCGCCCUUGGCGACAGAGUGAGACUCUAUCUCUAAAAAAAAAAAAAAAAAAGGCUGGGCACCUGUGGCUGAAGUGGCUAAGGCGCCAGCCACAUACACCUGGCGGGUUCGAAUCCAGCCCAGGCCGCCAAACAACAAUGAUGGCUGCAACCAAAAAAAAAAAAAAAAAAGCCGAGUGCUGUGGUGGGCGCCUGUAGCCGAGCUACUUGUGAGGCGGAGGCAGGAGAAUCGCUUGAGCCCAGGAGUUGGAGGUUGCUGUGAGCUGUAAUGCCACGGCACUCUACCCAGGGCGAUAGCUUGAGGCUCUGUCUCAAAAAAUAAAUAAAAAUAAAUAAAUAAAAAUGUGGGAGCUAAAUGAUUGGUACAAACAGGAACAAAGAGGUGUUAAGGACUCUGGAAAAAAGAAGGAGGGAGGGGAGGAAAAAAACUUACCUAUCAGGUACAAUGAACACUAUCCUAGUGGCAGGCACACUAAAAGCCAUGACUUCAACAUUAAAAAAUUCACCUUGCACAAAAAUAAAACAAAAACACUUGCACCAAUUCGGCGGUUACCUCUGAGCAGAUCGGACUCUUCUAGCUCUCGCAUCUCGCUCCGCUUCCUCCGCUACCAUGUCUGACAAACCCGAUAUGGCUGAGAUCGAGAAAUUCGAUAAGUCGAAAUUGAAGAAGACGGAAACGCAAGAGAAGAAUCCACUGCCUUCCAAAGAAACGAUCGAACAGGAGGAGCAAGCAGGCGAGUCAUAAUGAGGCGAGCGCCGCCGAUAUGCACUGGACAUUCCACAAGCAUUGCCUUCUUAUUUUACUUCUUUUAGCUGUUUAACUUUGUAAGAUGCAGAGAGGUUGGAUCAAGUUUAAAUGACUGUGCUGCCCCUUUCACAUCAAAGUAUCCAGAACUACUGACAACGAAGGCCACGCCUGCCUCUACCAUCUGCCUGUCUGGCUGGCAGGGAAGGAAAAGAACUUGCAUGUUGGUGAAGAAAGAAUUGGGGUGGGACGACAGUGAAAUCUACAGUUAAAACUAAGCUGGCCCCAGGGUUUCUUGCAGGCUGUAAAAUGCAGUUUAAUCUGAGUGCCAUUUUUUUUUCGUUCAAAUGAUUUUAAUUAUUGGAAUGCACAAUUUUUUUAUUAAUGCAAAUAAAAAGUUUUAAAAC